CACCCCAUUUUCCUCUGUUUACUUUCAGAAACGGUCAUUUGGAAAAACGGUUUAUAACUUGAUGUGUCUGCCCAUCCCUCCCUUAGUCGGGACCUGUUUAUUGAGUGUCAGAAAGAAUUGCACCAGGGGAAGUAGGCCGCGGCUGCAGUGGGAGGGCUGGGUUUCUAGCUGGAGGGGAGGUUCUCAGUCACUUGUAUAGCAAGGCACAGAAACAAAGCCAUAGCACUAAUUCUUCAAAGUGGACUCUGGGUAAACUGUAAAAUUUAUACACUUUUUUUUACUGCUCCCUUUCAGGUAGGCACCUCAAAGAAAACCUCAUAGAGAUUCUUUCUUAAUGGAAAUGCAUAGGCCAUCCGCUAGUCUACCAUGCUAUCCCAUAGAAUUUUCCUGGAACUAUUAUUUAUUUCCAAAGAUAAGACACAGCAAAUUUAAUUAUUCUGAAUCAUUAUGAGGCACUGGUGAUCAUGUUCAACAUAAUUAGCAAAAACCUCUAUUAGGCUAGAUCACAACUAUGGAAUAUAUAAGGGUGGAGAUGCUGGCCUCCUGUGGUUCAAUACUACUAUAGAGAACAAACA